ensembl:lncRNA
AUGAUUAAUUCUAACAAUUGUAAUAUACAAAAUUUAAAUAAUGAUAUGUAUAAGAAAUAUGUUAAUAAAAAUAAAAAAAACGUUGUAGGGCACAUGUACGAGUCAUUAAAACCGGAUACAUAUAAUGGCUGCUUAAAAGUUAGUAAUAACAUUAGUAAUAAUAUUAGUUAUAGCAAUGAUAACUAUAAUAACAACCAAAGCAGCAACAACAACCAAAGCAGCAACAACAACCAAAGNNNNNNNNNNAACAACCAAAGCAGCAACAACCUUCCGAAAGAGAUGCCAUACAAUAAAGAUUUCCAUUUAAAUUUAUGCAGUAUAAUACAACUUUUAGAAAAAGAGAAAAUCGAAAAAUUAUAUUCCGAAGAAGAAUUAAAAAGCAUAUUAAUUCCAAUAUAUGGUGUUUAUUAUGAUACUAUAAAAAAAAAUUGGUUAUGUAAUUAUGAUCAUGUUAAUAAUAUACCAUUUCCUCCUUCUUCCCCAUCCUCUUCUUCUUCUUCCUCAUCAUCAAAAUCGACGUCAAAUAUAAAAAAAAAAGUAUUUCCUACAAAAACAUAUUCUUACCACGAAGCAAGACAAUUAGCUUUAGAACAUAAAUAUAAUUAUACAAAAAGUAAAUAUAACAUAUUUAAUAAUUUAAGUGAAGAAGAACAUAUAUUUUUUAUAUCAAUAAACGCAUUUACAUCAAAUAAAGUUAACAAGAAUGAAAAACAAAAAGUGUUAAACCAUGACUAUACAUGUACUGAAAAUAGGAUACUAGACUCCGCCGCCUCCAAUGACAAUUGUAUUGAUGCACAACAAAGCAAUGUUACUAAUUUGAAUGAGAAUAACGACCACUUAAAUGAUUUUUACAAAGAAAAUGUCGAAAAAGUAUUAGCAUUAAAAAGUGAAUUUAAAAAAAAAGAAAACGAUUAUACUGUUAACAUAGAUGAUAGUUCUAUCGCAAAUACCUGUGCAAGUACCACCACAAGUAUCUGUGCAAGUACCUGUGCAAGUACCGUUGUUGAUAGUGAUAGCACAAUCAGUGGAACAUGUAAUAGUACAAAUGUUAAUUUACAUACUAGUUUAUAUAUUGAUUCACAAAAAAAUAAAGACCUAAAUUUGAACUUAACUUUAAAACUGUUAGAUCAUAAAGAAAUAAUUAAUUAUGACACAUCUUUACCACUUCAAAAUAUUAACUCUGAUUUAGCUAAUACAAAAGAAGAUAUUGAAGAAAAAUGUUUUAAUAAAAUUGAUACAACAAAUGGUGGUGACAUCUUGUUAAGUAAUUUACAUGUACCACAAAGCAAUAGUGACUUUAAUUUUAAAAAAAAUCACGAUGGCGUUUGGAACGCAACAAAUAAUAAUAUACUUGAUACUAAUACAAGUGAACAAAAUAACCUUAACAAUAAUAGCAACAAAAAAGAGGACGUAGAAAUGGAUAAAGGUGGUACAACUGAUGCAUACAGUACUCAAAUAAUAGAAAAAACAGAUGGUACACAAAGUACAUAUAUUGCAGAUAGUAUAAACAAAACUAACGGUGUAUACAAUGAACACAACAUAAACGCGCAUAGUAUUAAUUUUAAAACACAAGUCAUAUUGUACAAAACAUUAGGUAUUAUGUUUUCAGAAAGCAUAAUUGAAAAAUUAAAACAUUUACAAAAAGAAUAUAUCUUUUAUGAAAAAGAAAAAGAAAGAUGGGUUAUUAAAAUACUUGAAAAAAAAAAUAAUACACUGUUAUAUUUUAAAAAGUUUGAUUGUAAAGUUUAUGGUUUUUUUUAUGCAUGUAUUCUAACAAUAGAACAUAAACAUCUAUAUUUAGAUUACUUCCUAAAUGAAAAAAAUUACGACUUCUUAAUGAACUUAAUACAAAAUAGUUAUAUAAAAAAUAAUCUUUAUUACAAUGGUAACACUACUACUGAUCCAAAUUCUUUUUAUAGUAAUGUAGACUAUAAUUGUGCAUACCAUAACGAUGUAAGCCGUAACGGUGUAAGCCAUAACGAUACUAACCUAAACAAUACGAACUAUAACUAUGUUUAUCCAACUGAAAAUGAAAAACGUAUUUCAAAUUUUGUUUGUUGUAACAACAGGUACGAUGGCAACCGGUACGAUGAUGACAUGUACAAUGGCGAUAUGUACAAUGACGACAUGUACAAUGGCGAUAUAUGCAAACACGAGUCGUUCCAUCAUAAUAAUACCAAAAUAGGUCAUGUACAAAAAGGAAAUUACGAAGUAAAUUAUGACAACUUUAAUUCUUUUGAAAAAAAUAGUGAUGUUACAAGAAAUAGAAGUUAUAUAAAAAAAAAAGCGUUUACUAAAAAUUGUAACAAAAAAGGAAAGGUAUAUACAUAUAAAAAUACAAUGCUAAGUAAGAACCCUAACAUAUUAUAUAAUAAUUACGAAAAAAAAAAUCCUAGUAUAAAAAUAAAAAACGAAAAAAAUAAUUACCCAUACGAAAACAACAUUUGUGUAAAUAGCUUACAAGUAACAAAUUAUAACUAUACCGUAGAAAAUAAUAUACACAACGAUAUGCAUCCCAUUCAAACUAUUAAUAGUAGCAAUAUCACUAGCUAUGCAAACCAUAUGCAAUUAUAUAAACAAAACAUAAAAGGGGUAGUUAUAGAAAAUUUUCACAAUGACGAGAAAAAAACAAAAAUAAUAAAAAAAAAAAAAGAAAAAAGAAAAAAAUAA